AACGAACGCUGGCGGCAGGCCUAACACAUGCAAGUCGAACGCCCUGGCAACAGGGAGUGGCAGACGGGUGAGUAACGCGUGGGAACGUGCCCUUCGGUUCGGAAUAACUCAGGGAAACUUGAGCUAAUACUGGAUACGUGCGAGAGCAGAAAGAUUUAUCGCCGAAGGAUCGGCCCGCGUCCGAUUAGCUAGUUGGUGAGGUAAUGGCUCACCAAGGCGACGAGCGGUAGCUGGUCUGAGAGGAUGAUCAGCCACACUGGGACUGAGACACGGCCCAGACUCCUACGGGAGGCAGCAGUGGGGAAUAUUGGACAAUGGGCGCAAGCCUGAUCCAGCCAUGCCGCGUGAGUGAUGAAGGCCCUAGGGUUGUAAAGCUCUUUCGCCAGGGACGAUAAUGACGGUACCUGGAUAAGAAGCCCCGGCUAACUUCGUGCCAGCCGCCGCAGUAA
rnacentral:rRNA from 1 species